AAAAUUCCACUAGGCACCUAAAUACCUUUGAAAGUCUGUCCCAAUAUAACUUGCCCAGGGCCACAUGAUGACAGAGUGCCCAAGUGAGGACUAGGAUCCAGGAAUUCCUGACUCUUCCUCUAACUACUAGACAGCACUCCCAUCUAUUUACAAAAGUGGUAAAACAUGGGGAGGUGAUUCCAGGGGCUGACAAGAAAAGCGGGACUGAGAGAUGAAAGUGAAUGAUAUGAAGGGAGAAGUAUCUGUGCUGCGGCUGGGACUGGAAUAGCAGGACAAAACUGAGAUGCCUGGACCAAAAUGUGAUGGGGAAGAAUGCG
rnacentral:lncRNA from 1 species